rnacentral:rRNA from 1 species
UACGUAGGUGGCAAGCGUUAUCCGGAUUUACUGGGUGUAAAGGGCGUGUAGGCGGGAAAGCAAGUCAGAUGUGAAAACCAUGGGCUCAACCUGUGGCCUGUAUUUGAAACUGUUUUUCUUGAGUACUGGAGAGGCAGACGGAAUUCCUAGUGUAGCGGUGAAAUGCGUAGAUAUUAGGAGGAACACCAGUGGCGAAGGCGGUCUGCUGGACAGCAACUGACGCUGAGGCGCGAAAGCGUGGGGAGCAAACAGG